GCUUUCCUGUCGUGACAGCGGAGCUAGCGGAAGCGUCACAAAGUUUCCCGACCUGCUGGAAUGGACGCACAUGAAGUUGACCGCGACAAGUCAUCUAGUUUGAGGAGAACAACGUGAAACCUGACACGACAACAGGAGGACCAUGAGUGAGGAUGCCUCGACAAACAUCUACUGUACUUAUCGAUCAGAUAUGAAGAGGAUGGAGGUGGACAAAGAAACCACAAAGGGAAAGACAGCAGGGUUACCUGGCUGUUUUGGAGCCAGGCUAGGGCUGCCCCUGGUCGGAUCACUGGUACUUUGAACUCCUGCUAUUUGUUGCUCUUGGUCCUGGAUGUCUUUCUCCUCCAAAUGGUCAAGGAGCUUGUCUAAUGUCGUCUCUAGUGUUUGCGUUGCUUGUGUGCGAUCAAACUCUCCUUUCAGACCCUCAGUCUCCAAUUCCUGCUGGGCCUACAAGACAGGGAAAAGCAAAGAAUUGCAUUAUGUUUAAGAUCUGCUUAAUAUUGUGUCCAAAUUAAAUGUUUUAUGUGGUCAGAAACCUCA